UACGUAGGGGGCAAGCGUUGUCCGGAUUUAUUGGGCGUAAAGAGCGUGUAGGCGGCUUUACAGGUCCGUUGUGAAAACUCGAGGCUCAACCUCGAGACGCCGGUGGAAACCGUAAGGCUAGAGUCCGGAAGAGGAGAGUGGAAUUCCUGGUGUAGCGGUGAAAUGCGCAGAUAUCAGGAAGAACACCCGUGGCGAAGGCGGCUCUCUGGGACGGUACUGACACUGAGACGCGAAAGCGUGGGGAGCGAACAGG
rnacentral:rRNA from 1 species